rnacentral:rRNA from 1 species
AACAGAAGUAGGUAGCUUAACCUUCGGGAGGGCGCUUACCACUUUGUGAUUCAUGACUGGGGUGAAGUCGUAACAAGGUAACCGUAGGGGAACCUGCGGUUGGAUCACCUCCUUACCUUAAAGAA